rnacentral:rRNA from 1 species
CACGUAGGGGGCAAGCGUUGUCCGGAUUUAUUGGGCGUAAAGAGCUCGUAGGUGGUUCGGUAAGUCGGGUGUGAAACCUCCAGGCUCAACCUGGAGACGCCACCCGAUACUGCUGUGACUGGAGUCCGGUAGGGGAGCGUGGAAUUCCUGGUGUAGCGGUGGAAUGCGCAGAUAUCAGGAAGAACACCAACGGCGAAGGCAGCUCGCUGGGACGGUACUGACGCUGAGACGCGAAAGCGUGGGGAGCGAACAGG